rnacentral:rRNA from 1 species
UACGAAGGGGGCGAGCGUUGUUCGGAUUUACUGGGCGUAAAGGGCGCGCAGGCGGCUCGUUUUGUCAGGCGUGAAAGCCCCGGGCUUAACCUGGGAACUGCGUUUGAUACGGACGGGCUAGAGUUCGGGAGAGGAGAGUGGAAUUCCACGUGUAGCGGUGAAAUGCGUAGAGAUGUGGAGGAACACCAAUGGCGAAGGCAGCUCGCUGGGACGUGACUGACGCUGAGACGCGAAAGCGUGGGGAGCAAACAGG